rnacentral:rRNA from 1 species
UACGGGGGGGGGUAAGCGUUGUUCGGAAUUACUGGGCGUAAAGGGCUCGUAGGCGGCCAACUAAGUCAUACGUGAAAUCCCUCAGCUUAACUGGGGAACUGCGUGUGAUACUGGAUGGCUUGGAUUUGGGAGAGGGAUGCGGAAUUCCAGGUGUAGCGGUGAAAUGCGUAGAUAUCUGGAAGAACACCGGUGGCGAAGGCGGCAUCCUGGACCAAUAUUGACGCUGAGGAGCGAAAGCUAGGGGAGCAAACGGGG